GAAAAAAUGAAUAUUCCAAUUUGAUUUGAAGAAAAUCUUUUUGAACUGUCAUGACAUGGUGUUGCAAAGCUGAUUACAGGUAACUAUAACAUACAGUAAUUUUCCAUUACGACAGUGCGUGUAUUCUCGGGUGUGUAUAACGUAUAGUUUUCUAGAGAACAUCCUGUCUACGUGUAAUACAGAUUGAUGACAUUAUACAACAUUUCUUUGGUUAAAUGUGAUAAGGUAUCUGUGUCCAUUCCCUAUUUCAACACCACUAAUUUUUCGAAGAAAAAAAAUCAAAAAAAAAAUUAUAUGAAAUUAAGAAGAAAAGUAGCAAAUAUAAACUUCAGUAAUUGCGCAUUGAGUAAACAUAAUUCCAAUAUUGCAUGAACAAAUCCGUGAGAAAACGUAUAUAUACAUGUAUGAAUAAAGAUGUGUUUUAAAAGACCUAUUGGCAUUAUUUCACACUAGGACCUAAGAUAACUAGAACUAAGCAAUGGUUGAUCCAGAAAUUUUCAUAAGUGGGGACUCAUUGACUGCCUUAGAGGGGUCACGUCCAGUCAUGCUUCCGUGAUUCCCUAUAUAAUCUACCAUUUGUUUCCCAAGAUUUAGGAGGGGGCUGGUACACACAUAUAUAUAUAAAUAUACCUCUGCGGCGGAGCCAGCCAUUUGAAAAGGAAGGGGGUCUCAACCCAGGACAAAAGGGGGAGGGGGUGGUUCCAACCAUAUGUCCCCAUUC
rnacentral:lncRNA from 1 species